rnacentral:rRNA from 1 species
AUACGAAGGGGGCUAGCGUUGUUCGGAAUCACUGGGCGUAAAGCGCGCGUAGGUGGAUCAAUUAGUUGAGGGUGAAAUCCCGGGGCUCAACCUCGGAACUGCCUUCAAUACUGUUGAUCUUGAGACCGAGAGAGGUGAGCGGAAUUCCUAGUGUAGAGGUGAAAUUCGUAGAUAUUAGGAAGAACACCAGUGGCGAAGGCGGCUCACUGGCUCGGUACUGACGCUGAGGUGCGAAAGCGUGGGGAGCAAACAGGAUUAGAAACCCUAGUAGUCC